GUCUCCAGCCUGCCACCUGACCUAUGGAUUUGAGACUUGCCAGCCCCACAAUUCUGGAGGAUACUAAAAGGGGGAUUUCCUGAUCAUCCUAAAUUUUGAUGAGUCUGGCGAAAGAUGCGUUUCUUCUGGAUGUGAUUCUUCUAGAUCAAGCAGUGGAAAGUCUCUGACUUUUACCUUACCCAAGUGGACUCACCCAUCUCCAUAUUAUCACCACAAGCUAUUUUGUUUUGGGAGAUUCAUCCACGUUGACAUGUAUCAGUCUAGGCCAUUCAUUUCCACUGCGAUAUGGCAUGAUGUUUUCUGAAUGUCCUACAAUGUAUCCAUGACUCUGCGAAUGGACACGUAAGUAUUUUUUCUGUUGCACACACCCUUGCUAUGAAUAUUCCUGGACAUGUCAUCUUUUUCACAUGCGCGGUGGUUUCUCUGAGAGAAUAUACCUGGAGUAGAACUGUUGGGCUUGUACAACUUCUCCCUAACUAGAUAUUGCUAAAUUGAUCUCCAAAACGGCUUUAACAGUUUUGUUUUCAAGAGAAGUGCGUAGAAUUACAUCGCUUCAGAUCCUCGUUAGCACACAAGGCUGUCAGACUUUUAAAUUUUAUCAGUCUGAUGGGUUUAAAGUGGUGUAUCGUUGUGGUUUUAAUUAGCACUUCCCCAUUGUUCAAAACACAAUUUUUAAUGGAUGCAUAAUCAUAUUUCAUUAUAAGGAGAAACCACAAUUUAUUCACUCUUCCUGUAUGUUGGACAUA